rnacentral:rRNA from 1 species
AAUAUUGCGCAAUGGGCGAAAGCCUGACGCAGCGACGCCGCGUGAGGGAUGACGGCCUUCGGGUUGUAAACCUCUUUCAGCACAGACGAAGCGCGAGUGACGGUAUGUGCAGAAGAAGGACCGGCCAACUACGUGCCAGCAGCCGCGGUAAUACGUAGGGUCCGAGCGUUGUCCGGAAUUACUGGGCGUAAAGAGCUCGUAGGUGGUUUGUCGCGUUGUUCGUGAAAACUCACAGCUCAACUGUGGGCGUGCGGGCGAUACGGGCAGACUAGAGUACUGCAGGGGAGACUGGAAUUCCUGGUGUAGCGGUGGAAUGCGCAGAUAUCAGGAGGAACACCGGUGGCGAAGGCGGGUCUCUGGGCAGUAACUGACGCUGAGGAGCGAAAGCGUGGGGAGCGAAC